UUCUCCUCCAAUUCUUCUCCAUCUCUAGAGGGUUUGUGAGAUUUGAAGAAGCAGACAUAUUAGCUAUCGAAAAGGAGAUCUCUGCAAGGGAGCUAGAACUUCGAGGAGAUCAUCUCGCCUUUGAUCAGAAGGAGUUUUUAUGUGGAUACUAGUGGAGGUCGGGCAAGUGCGUGGCUAAAGGAACUUUUUAGAUCCAUGAUUAUUGGAUACGGUGUAUUAUGAUCCGCACAAGGUAUUGAGAUCUGAUCUUAAUAUUUAUUUUUAUUUUUAAAUUUUAUGCAUGUCAUAGAUCAAG
rnacentral:lncRNA from 1 species